GAGGGGCACAGCCACCAGCCUGACCCCCCCACAGCCUCUGUUCCCAGCUGGAAACUGGAAUUCCUCCUGCUGCAGUCCCUGCAGCCGCGCUCGGGGGGCUCUGAGCUCCUGGGGCGCUUCUGAAGAAUUGGGAAUUAUCCACGGGAUAAACCACGGUGCUUCCCCAGGGGACAGGAGGUGAUGAGCUGCAGCAGGAUUGGGGCACAAAGUUCCUUCAGGAAGGCCAGAAUUCCUGCUAAGCGAUGAGUGGCUGGAGCUUGGUUUUUGGGAGGAGCUCUUGGGUGUGUGGAAAAGGGGAAAAAAUGCCUGGAAUUUGUGGUUUGAUUCCUCUGGAGAGCCCUGCAGGUGUAUGGAAAAGGGAAAAAUGUCUGGGAUUUGUGGUCUGGAGAGCCCUGCAGGUGUGUGGAAAAGGGAAAAAUGCCUGAACUUGUGGUCUGGAGAGUCCUGCAUGUGUGUGGAAAAGGGAAAAAUGCCUGGGAUUUGUGGUUUGAUUCCUCUGGAGAGCUCUGCCCGUGCACACCCUGAGUGGGAAGCGUGGUGGGAGUGGGAGGUGGGUGGGGAUGUGUGGGACAUGGGGGAGGGAGUGUGUCCAGUGGGGAAAGAAAGUCAGCUCAACUCAAGUGCUCUCAAACAAGUUUAACAAAAAAAAACCCCAAAAAAACCAGGAUUAUAUAACUGGGCUGGUACCUCCUAAGGGCCAAGAAUGUGGAAAAAUCUAAUUAUCAUUUUCCAUCCUCUUUAGACUGUCUGGUGAUACCAUUUGAACUCUUAAAUG